rnacentral:lncRNA from 1 species
GUUUGACUUAAUUUAAAAACAGUAAAUGCUGAGAUUAAGUGAAAAAAAAAAAAAAUUAAAUUUGGUGUAAAAACAAUUUUUACUCAUAAAUUGCUAGUAAAUUUCACAAAUAAUGACAGCAAGAGACAGCAAGUAAAAAUUUUAAGUAGAAAGACUAAAACUGCAUUUUCCUUUAAAACGUGCUCCAAUCUUUAUUUGAUUUUUAAUUUUUAUUUACAACUUUGAAAGCUAAUUUUCACAGUGUAAGAAUAAUAAAUGGUAUAGAAGUAUUGUUUGUUGUUCAUACAUAAACUAAUGCAGUUAACAAAUGAAAAAUUAUUGUACAGUGUUAACUUUAAUUGUUGGUUGAUUAUGUCUUUCUGUUGUAGUUUCAGAGACCUUACAGCCAGAGGCUUUACCAGUGUACACGCUGUAGAAAACCAUGGCCCACAGCAAGGAUUCACCAUGGACUUUAGAGUUCCCUCAGGAUCUUCUUCCGUCUGCGGAGCGAACGGCUCUUCUCUAUCAUCUGUGUUACCUGCUUCUGGGAAGAUUCCUCGAUUUGCAGAGUCUGAUCAGAGAACAAGCUCUUGAAACACAACGGGUGUUUAGAUGCUCUGAGGCUGUUAUUAUAAAGUGUGUCGGCACGAGUUCCAACUUGGACUCCUCUCUGUUCCCAAUACUGACGAAAGUCGUUGAAAAGAACAAACACCUUUUGGCUUUGUCAUACAUGGGGAAAGUCAGAACAUGGAUUGAUGACAUCAUUAAACCUGUUGAUUCCAUGGUGAAGAGGUAUGAACAACACAUCCAAAGUGUGGAGAAGUGUGCUGUUGAUGUGAUUCAAAUACAGAAAAAACUGGAAGAACCAUUUGAACCUUUAAAGAAGAUCAAGAGUCUGGAGGAGGAAAUAGCCCAGCUGGAAGAGAGGAUGAGAGCAGAAAAUGUUAGUUGGAUGAACAAAAACCAUCUGACUGAACUUCAGAAGCAGUUGGGCCGUUACAGAAUGAAGCAUGGUCUGAUUGUCUACCUGGAGGAGGUUCAGAAGUGUCUUUCUCGAAUCAAGCAGAUUCUGUUUCAGCUUCAGAAGUUCUGGGAGAGAGUGGGAUCUCUGCUGGACACACUGAAAGACAGGACCCUUGUUGAAAGACAGGACCCUUGUUGGGGACAAUCUCACUGA